UUGAACGCUGGCGGCAUGCCUUACACAUGCAAGUCGAACGGUAGAGGGGCAACCCUUGAGAGUGGCGAACGGGUGAGUAAUGCAUCGGAACGUGCCCAGUCGUGGGGGAUAACGCAGCGAAAGCUGUGCUAAUACCGCAUGUGAUCUGUGGAUGAAAGCAGGGGACCGCAAGGCCUUGUGCGAUUGGAGCGGCCGAUGUCAGAUUAGCUAGUUGGUAGGGUAAAGCCUACCAA
rnacentral:rRNA from 1 species